UAAAGCCAUAUACAUAGUAGACCUGUAAGGCAGCACAUGGAGCAAGGUUAGCAUACUAUUUAAGCACGACAUUCCUUAAAACUGUAAGAUAAACAAAAAAAGAGUGCCAAGAAAUCUGUUAAUUAACAACCAGUUAUUCUGCAUCCCACAUACAAACUCUGUAAGCAACACAAGUUCAUUACGAGAAGACAGUAGUGCCUUUUGGAAAAAAACCAUUAGAACAGAUCUUAUACUUUCUAAUAGUAAUUCCAAUAUACUUCACCCUAUAUGUAGACAAACAAUAAACCUAUUUUUUCUUACCUUUAUUCUAAAUUGGUAUGACACACAAAGGUCAGACUUAAGACAAGUAUGCAUAUAUCAUUGCAAAAUAGAAUUCUCAUACAAGGUCACAAGGCAAAAUACCUUGUGGCAAUGACCACACAUUUAACAUGACAGCUGCAAGCUUUCAUAAAAUAAAGAAAAGUAAAAGAAAAAUGCUCAACAAAAUCACGAUAUGCUUGUAAAGUCUCCUUGAACAUCCCAAAGAUAAGUACCAUUGAUUAGCAAUCAUAAAUGUUAUUCAGA
rnacentral:misc_RNA from 1 species